AGGAAAAAUGUAAGUAUAAAAUCACAGCAAAGCGUUCAUACUGCAUGAACGAAUAAACAAUAAGAAUCAAUCUGAAAAAAAACGUACCCUUUACUAUAAAUAUAAAUUUUAAUCAUGAAUUUCAAUCCAAUGGCAUUAUUUUAAAGAAAUAAAAUCGUCUGAUUCGGUAAAAAAGAACCAAAUAAUGACUCUGUCUAUUUAAAAUUAUGGUCUAUCUAAACAACCAUGUGGAUUUGGUGUCCUAACUAUCAGUAACAAUUAACUGUAUUAAGAACAAUAUUUUGGAAUCUGCCUAGCUUGUCUCACAUCUUUUAAGCCAUUAUAUGUUUUGGGCAAAAUCUGAGCAAAGAAGUACGCAAUAAAACGCCAGAGCCAAAAUGGAAAAUUAGCAUAUGAUAGGUUUGAAUCUGGGAGAAAUCGAAAAUUCCGUGUUUUAAUUGGUUUAAAACCAGGGCCAAUAAAGAAUCACUGAAUUAAGUUGUAUUCAGCACGCUAAGGUGAUUUUAUAUUAUUUUCCCUAUUCCUCUUGGUCCGAUGACCCAGGCAAUUUCCAAAAUGAUUGCAGUAUAUGUUUUCUGUUUACAUAUCAGUUGGACCAAGAAUACUCAACAUUAUAAGCACCAAUCGAAGGCAACUGACAAUUACAUGUAACGUAGCCGGUUUCCCGCAUCCAAAUGUCACGUGGGAACAGGACGGGAACCACUUAAAUAGCACUUUCGACUCUUUGUACGUUAUGAUGGGAGAAAGAGUUGUUGUUUACAAUCAGAACUACUCUGAUACAUAUAGGUGCAUCGCAAUGAACGAACAUUCGCCAUACAAUGCAACAGAUGAUAUACAUAUAAAAGAUGGCCAUUUCACUUCUACGACUGCAGGUGGAAAAGUCAAAAAAAUAUUCGAGUUGUUAGCCAGCAUAAUCAUAACUUAUUGUGCAAUGUUGGAGGUGCAAUAACUUAAAUUUAUUACGAAAAUAUUUUGCCACUUUGUGUCGAUCACCCUUCUACUAGUUAUGCUAUCGCAACCUGUAUUAUAUUAAAACUAAAUAGAAUUGCGACAACGGCCCCUUCCGAGAAGAUACCGAAAGGCUUCUGGGUCUCGGAGUCUCCCAAUUUGACCGUGUGAAGGA